AAUUUGCAUUAUAGUAUGAUCAUUUUCUUCACGCGCGGUAUGUGGUAAGGAACGAGUAGUGCCGUGGACAUUUAACCGAGGGUAGGGUACAGUAGCUCUGUUGCAACGUCGCCUAAUUUAUGACGCCUUCAAGUGUGUCCGCAGGCACUUUUCCUACUCGUAACUCGCCUCUGGCCUCGCAAUGAUUUUGUUCAACGAGCAUUUUCGACAUUUAGGAAUUUCGAUUCCCUUAUGUCUUGUACUAUGUAAAUAUUAAGCCUAUUUACGAGAAAGAUUGAUGUAUCAAUUAUUAAAAAACUAAAUAUCUAUAGUCUCGUUCCGUCGUGUCGUUUUUAAAAACAUGAGAGGCUCGUCGAUCUAAAAAAAUUUAAUUUCGGUAGUUCAAAGAAAUAUGCAUUCAAAAAUAAUGACUUUGGCCAUGCAUUGAAUCAGACCUUUAAAUUCGAGGUCGACUCUUUUGACCGUUUGACCGUCGAUGCUCGACGAACUACGUUUACCUCACAUCUGUUCGGUCACUUCGUCAAACGGUGCUUGAAUUCAUUAAAAGAAAAAUGCCACCUUCCUAUGUA